rnacentral:rRNA from 1 species
AGAGUUUGAAUCAUGGCUCAGGAUGAACGCUGGCGGCGUGCCUAAUACAUGCAAGUCGAGCGAACUGACGAGGAGCUUGCUCCUUUGACGUUAGCGGCGGACGGGUGAGUAACACGUGGGUAACCUACCUAUAAGACUGGAAUAACUCCGGGAAACCGGGGCUAAUGCCGGAUAACAUAUCGAACCGCAUGGUUCGAUAGUGAAAGACGGUCUUGCUGUCACUUAUAGAUGGACCCGCGCCGUAUUAGCUAGUUGGUGAGGUAACGGCUCACCAAGGCAACGAUACGUAGCCGACCUGAGAGGGUGAUCGGCCACACUGGAACUGAGACACGGUCCAGACUCCUACGGGAGGCAGCAGUAGGGAAUCUUCCGCAAUGGGCGAAAGCCUGACGGAGCAACGCCGCGUGAGUGAUGAAGGUCUUCGGAUCGUAAAGCUCUGUUGUUAGGGAAGAACAAAUGUGUAAGUAACUGUGCACAUCUUGACGGUACCUAACCAGAAAGCCACGGCUAACUACGUGCCAGCAGCCGCGGUAAUACGUAGGUGGCAAGCGUUAUCCGGAAUUAUUGGGCGUAAAGCGCGCGUAGGCGGUUUUUUAAGUCUGAUGUGAAAGCCCACGGCUCAACCGUGGAGGGUCAUUGGAAACUGGAAAACUUGAGUGCAGAAGAGGAAAGUGGAAUUCCAUGUGUAGCGGUGAAAUGCGCAGAGAUAUGGAGGAACACCAGUGGCGAAGGCGGCUUUCUGGUCUGUAACUGACGCUGAUGUGCGAAAGCGUGGGGAUCAAACAGGAUUAGAUACCCUGGUAGUCCACGCCGUAAACGAUGAGUGCUAAGUGUUAGGGGGUUUCCGCCCCUUAGUGCUGCAGCUAACGCAUUAAGCACUCCGCCUGGGGAGGUACG